ACAUUAAUCUCGGCGUUAGAUUUCAUUCUCAGCCUGGGAAAGUGGUGACAACGCAGAUCGAGCAUAAAAGUUCAGCAGAAUUUUGAGACAAGGGUGGUUUAGAACCAAUUUACAGACCUGAUAGCAUCCGGGAGGAUAAUCCAAUUUACAGACCAGAUGACGAAAAUUCAC